rnacentral:rRNA from 1 species
ACGCUCGACACCUACGGGGAGGCAGCAGUUGGGAAUAUUGGACAAUGGAGGAAACUCUGAUCCAGUGACGCCGCGUGAAGGAAGAAGGUCUUCGGAUUGUAAACUUAUUUUGUCAGGGAAGAAAAAAAUGACUGUACCUGAAGAAAAAGCACCGGCUAACUACGUGUCAGCAGCCGCGGUAAUCUGAGCGGGCUGGCAAGGGC